GAGUUUGAUCGUGGCUCAGAUUGAACGCUGGCGGCAUGCCUUACACAUGCAAGUCGAACGGCAGCAUGAUCUAGCUUGCUAGAUUGAUGGCGAGUGGCGAACGGGUGAGUAAUACAUCGGAACGUGCCCUGUAGUGGGGGAUAACUAGUCGAAAGAUUAGCUAAUACCGCAUACGACCUGAGGGUGAAAGUGGGGGACCGCAAGGCCUCAUGCUAUAGGAGCGGCCGAUGUCUGAUUAGCUAGUUGGUGGGGUAAAGGCCCACCAAGGCGACGAUCAGUAGCUGGUCUGAGAGGACGAUCAGCCACACUGGGACUGAGACACGGCCCAGACUCCUACGGGAGGCAGCAGUGGGGAAUUUUGGACAAUGGGCGAAAGCCUGAUCCAGCAAUGCCGCGUGUGUGAAGAAGGCCUGG
rnacentral:rRNA from 1 species